rnacentral:lncRNA from 1 species
UGUCCCCAAUGUCCCCCACUGUCCCCAUUGUCCCCAGUGUCCCCAAUGUCCCCAAAGUCCCCAAUGUCCCCAAUGUCCCUGUGUGUCCCCAGUGUGUCCUGUGUGUCCCCACUGUCCCCACUGUCCCCAGUGUCACCACUGUCCCCACUGUCCCCAAUGUCCCCACUGUCCCCAGUGUCCCCACUGUCCCCACUGUCCCCACUGUCCCCAAUGUCCCCAUUGUCCCCAUGUCCCCGUGUCCCCAGGUCCCGGCUCGUGUCGGACACGCAGAAGCAGCUGCAGGUUCAGGUCAAGCUGGGCACACUGCAUGUCCCCAUUGUCCCCAAUGUCCCUGUGAGUCCCCAGUGUCCCUGAUGUCCCGACUGUCCCCAAUGUCCCCAGCAUGUCUCCAGUGUCCCUGCCUGUCCCUGAGUGUCCCCUGUGUGUCCCCACUGUCCCCAUUGUCCCCAAUGUCCCCAAUGUCCCCAAUGUCCCUGUGUGUCCCCAAUGUCCCCAUGUCCCCAAUGUCCCCAGUGUCCCCACUGUCCCCACUGUCCCCAAUGUCCCCAAUGUCCCUGUGUGCCCCCACUGUCCCCAGUGUCCCCAGUGUCCCCACUGUCCCCAAUGUCCCCACUGUCCCCAGUGUCCCCACUGUCCCCAAUGUCCCCAGUGUCCCCACUGUCCCCAAUGUCCCNAGGGAGCACCGGCACCACCCGUGAGUGUUAAUUAGCGUUAAUUACCCUAAUUACUGUCAUUAGUGUCAUUGCUGUCCCUGCUGCUGGCACUGAUCCCACCCGUCAGUGUCAGUCACUGUCAUUGCUGUCAUUGCUGUAACCGGGAGUGCCACCAGGGGGAGCACUGGCACCACCCGUGAGUGGUUUAAUUACUAAUUGUUUAAAUUAAUUAGUUUUUAAUCAAUUUUAAUUGAGUUGUCUAUGGUUUUGCUGUUUUUUAUUGGCCAAACUUGGGGGAAUCAAUAAUUGCUUUGAUUGCUUAGCUGAGCACGUGUUUAAUUAGCUUGAUCACCUCAUUAAUUAGCUAAUUACUUAAUCAUUAAUGGCGUUAAUGAGCAAUUAAGAAGCGCUUUUGUUGGGUAAGUUCUAAUGUAAUUAAUGUAUUAAUGUAAUUAAUGUAAUUAAUGUAAUUAAUGUAAUUAGGAAUUAAAUGACAGAAUCUGUUACCUGGGGCAUCUCAUUAACUAAAGUCCCUUAAUCCAUGGAGUUAAUUAGAUAAUUGAGGCCUAAUGAGGAUUAAUUAGUGCAUUAAUGGGUAAUGAGCUAAUAAACUUCAUUUUGCUUUUCUCUCCCA